GAUAGUUCUCGACUCCUCGGUUGGUUGGCCUGAGUUUGCAAUCGCCUACAGGACCUAGGGUUCCGUCUCCGCCGCCUCUAGCUUCCCCUCCCUCCCUCUCCUUCCCUCCCUUGCCGGACCCCCGUUCAUCCUGCCGACGACCCACAUUUCCAUCUAGCUCGCUUCUGGCGCAGUCCGCACGCCGGCGACCCGGCCGCUUUCUCCGCGAUCUGCCUCGACCUCCGCGAUCUGCCUCGACCUCGAGCUCGACGACCUCCGCGAUCUUCCUCGACCUCGAGCGCGACGACCUCCGCGAUCUGCCUCGACCUCGAGCUCGACGACCUCCGCGAUCUGCCUCGACCUCGAGCUCGACGACCUCCGCGAUCUGCCUCGACCUCGAGCCCGACGACCUCCGCGAUCUGCCUCGACCUCAAGACCUCCACGAUCUGCCUCGACCGUCGCCUUCCAUUCCCAUCUGCACUGUCUGACCGGUAAGACCAAACGAUUCGU
rnacentral:lncRNA from 1 species